CCUACGGGUGGCAGCAGUGAGGAAUAUUGGUCAAUGGGCGUAAGCCUGAACCAGCCAAGUCGCGUGAGGGAUGAAGGUUCUAUGGAUCGUAAACCUCUUUUAUAAGGGAAUACAGUGUGGGACGUGUCCUGUUUUGAAUGUACCUUAUGAAUAAGGAUCGGCUAACUCCGUGCCAGCAGCCGCGGCAAUACGGAGGAUCCGAGCGUUAUCCGGAUUUAUUGGGUUUAAAGGGUGCGUAGGCGGCCUUUUAAGUCCGCGGUGAAAGCCUGUGGCUCAACCCUAGAAUUGCCGUUGAAACUGGGAGGCUUGAGUAUGUGGGAGGCAGGCGGAAUUCGUGGUGUAGCGGUGAAAUGCGUAGAUAUCACGCAGAACCCCGAUGGCGAAGGCAGUCUGCUAAGCCAUAACUGACGCUGAGGCACGAAAGCGUGGGGAGCAAACAGGAUUAGAUACCCCAGUAGUC
rnacentral:rRNA from 1 species